GAAUCAAUUGAUUACUUGAGUUGAUUUGUACUUUUGUAAUCCUCUUUUGAGAUAGUUCUCUGUCUCCAAAGUUCCUCUUUGGGCAGACCUUAUCUUGCUCAAGCAAGUGGCGAUCCUUCCUUGAUGCUUAUCUUGGAGCCUUCUUCAAGUGACACAUCUUCAAGUCCUAAGUUUCCUUUUCUCUAAUCUUUUCCAUUUAUAAUUUUCUUGCCAUUUCCUUAAAUGUCAUUUAGUCUAUUCAUUCUAGGCAUGCACUUCCCCCAUCAGCUAAGAAGAAAACUGGUUUUUCUAGACAACAAAAUCCUUGAGUUAAAAGAGACAUUCACAAAUUUCUCAUUCAAGCACAAUCUCUCUUUAAACAAACCAAUUUCACUUUUCCCAACUUUCCUCUUUUUAGAAUUGAGCUUUUCUUUCCUUUCAUUCUAUUUUCUUUUCUUUUUCUUUUUCAUACUUGCUCAACACUUAGCUCAAUGCAUAUUCUCUUUCUUCUUUUUUCUUUUCAAAUUUCCCAACAACCCC
rnacentral:lncRNA from 1 species